ACUCAUUAACCAUCACAUUAUACAUCGAAACAUUUAAAGGAUAACCCUUAGUCAGAAGAUCAUGAUAAAUCUCUUGUGCAUCCUCAAGUCUUCCAUUUUUGCAUAGUCCAUCAACAAGUAUAGUGUAUGUAUACAUAUUUGGCUGAAUUCCUUGGUCUUUUAUCUUUUUUAAUAAUGCAAUCGCCUUGUCAACCUGAUGGUUUUUGCAUAAAGCAUCUAAUAAAGAAUUGUAAGUGAUCACAUUAGCAGGUUGGCCUAUAUCAUGCAUCUCGACAAGAAGAUCCCAAACAUCAGAGAUUCUCCCUGAUUUGCAAAGUCCAUCAAUAAGAGAAUUGUAUGAUACAGUAUCUGGAGUCAUAUUACUGGAAUGCAUUUCUUUGAAGAGAUUCGCAGCUUCAUUCACCAUUUUAUUCUUACAUAAUCCGUUAAUCAUGAUAUUGUAGCUAAAAACAUUAGGAGUCACUCCCCUUAGAGGAAGGGUGUUGAAUAGAUGUUUGGCCUUGUUGACUUCUUUAACCAAGAAAUAACCAUCCAUUAAAGAACUAUAAGUAACAAUAUCAGGUUCCACACGUUGUUUUAUCAUAACAGCCAACACAUGUCUAGCUUUUUUCACCUCUCCUUGCUUACAUAAACCAUCGACCAAUGUAGUGAAAGUAAGAACAUCCGGACUGAUGUUUUUCAUCGACAUUUGAUUUAACAAACCAACUGCUUCUUUCAUUUGACCCAAAAUGGAAAAACCAUAUAUUAGAGUAUUGUAAGUGAUGACAUUAGGAUGAAUUUUGUUAACAAUCAUUUCAGAAUAUAAAUCAUACCCAUCACUAACAAGCUUAUCUUUACAGAGAGCGUCAAUGAUUGUGUUGUACAUAACGACAUCAGGCUUAACCAACAACCCUUUAAUCUUUUCAAGCAACUGUAGGGCAGCUUUUGUUUCUCCGGAUUUACAUAACCCGUUGAUCAAGAUCCCAUAACUAACAUGAUUAAGAUGAAAUCCUUUUGCUAUAACAUGAUCAUGAAAGUAAAGUGCUUUCCUAAUUUGACCAUUAAGACAAAGACCGUUGAUAAGUGUAGUUAAAGUUACAGUAUUUGGCUGAUAACCUAGCUUAAGAAUCUUACCCAAUAUAGAAAAAGCGUAAUUGAGUUGAUUCAAGUGGCAGAAAGAAUUAAUCAAGAUGCUUAAAGUAACAAUGUUAGGUUGAAUUCCUUUGAGUUCCAUUUGGUGAGAGAAUGAAAUAGCGGUACUGAAAUGAUUCAUCUUAACAAGAGAACCUAAAAUCUUACCGAAUUCGAAGAUGGGUGGGGUAGGGUUAUUCAUAUGAAGAAUGCGAUUGAACGAUGAAACGGCGUCGUCGACAUUGGGAAUGAACAAAGGAAGAGGCUGAAUGUGUAAACGACGAACUGGAAGAAAGAAAUUGGCAGUGGAGGCUGAACGUGUAAAUGAUGACAUCAUCAUAUGAGUGAGUGAGUGAAGAAGAAACAACGGAAUGAGCUUACUGAUACAGAAGAAGCAUUCAGAACAUUUUAUUUUCAAGUAGUCUAGUGUCUAAAACUCGCACAAUUUAAUUGGGGAGACAUAGAAUUCUAACUCUGACUCUGUACAUAUAUAAAGUGUAUUAUCCAAGCUAAUCCCACGGGGAUUCAAGACACUUUUAUUAUUUCAAUCAUCAAGUGAAAUCACCGAAAUACCCCUAUUAUAAAAUUAAAUUUACAAAAUCAAACAAACCUCUUACCCAUUAGACCAUCUCUAAUGGUAUGUUUAAUGUGUCAUUCAACUCCUUCUUUAUCUCCAAUGGUUUGUUUAAUGUGUGUUGAAUGGGGGAAUAGAAGAGAGAGAAGAUGAAUACAUUCAACACCAAUUAAUCCUGCCACGGAUGCCACGCAGUGCAAGCAAAUUGGCCCAAAACGGGCGCGUGCAUCACACGCGCCGACAAGGCGCGUGAACGGUCAGAGGCUCGGAGAGAGAAACGGUUUUUGGAUAGAUAAGGACACGUGGCGCGUUUUAAUUGGUUGUCCGGAUUCUAAUCAUUUUAAUAAUUUGACCUCAAUUAUUUCGUUGUAAAUUAAUUUUAAAAAAAAAAUUACCAAAAUUCAUGAUUUUUUUUCUCUAUAAAUAGAGACUUAGAUCAUUUGAUUUGGACACAGAAAAAAAAAAACCAAGUUUUUCACUAUCUUCAUCUUAUUAUUAUCUUUCUAUUAGCAAACUAAGUGAAGUUUUAAUCUUAUUUUUUGUGAAAUGGAUCCCAAUAAUAACUAUUUCAACACCCAAAAAUUUUCUAAUUACCCAUAUAACUACGAAAAUCCCAACAAUUAUCUAAUUCCAAAUCAAUUUUUUAACCAACGUCCUCAAAACAUACAUCAAAACGUACCUAAUUUUUGUUUUUCACUAAAUUUCAACCAGUCAUCCUCUGUUCCAAACUUUCAUCCAUAUUAUGGAUCUAUGAUGAAAUAUUCAUCUCAAACACCCCCAUUUAAUGGUUAUAUGCCAAUGGAGAAUGAAAAUUUUCCUAGUGUUGGUGCAACUCAAUAUCCUGAAUUUUCAACACAAAUAACUUCUGGUGGCAUGGCAGUUGCUAAUGAAGUCACUACAGAAGAUUCAACUCCUAAGAGCAAGAGAAGUAAGGAACCAGCAUGGAACACUCAACAAAAUUUGGUUCUAAUUAGUGCAUGGAUUAAAUAUGGAACAAGCAGUGUUGUCGGAAAAAACCAGAGAGGAGAAACAUAUUAGGGGUAAAUUUGCUGAGUAUUGUAAUGAAUAUUGCUCAUUUAAUUAUCCCCGCGAUCUAGUUGUAUGCCGAAACCGUUUUAAUUAUAUGAGCAAAGUAAUAAAUAAAUGGAUUGGUGCUUAUGAAAACAUUAAGCGUUUGCAAAAGCUACCUUACAUAACUUGUUUAACCUAAAAUCAUAUAUUUCUAAAUGAUCCUUAUUCCUUCUGUUAUGUUCAUUCUAUUAUAAAGGUUACAUUCUUGAAAUAGUUACAACCUUAGACAAUUAAUUGCACAACAAUAACCUAAGAAACUAUCGGCAACUUUAACACCUGACACAACUCAAACGAUACAAACAAAACAAAAUGUGUGCAGACUUUUAAGGUAAAACCUCUAAAGUUGAGUGCAGAAAAAGAGAUAAAACGGUUCAAACUUCUAAAGAAGAUCAAGAAAAUUCAAAGUACAUUGGAAAGAUAAACAAAAGGAACCUAGUAAAACAUGACUUUUAACUAUUUAUCAUACAAUUUUUUUCCUAUCUUAAUUUCUCCAUGGAUAUCUUCAUAAGGUAUCCAAAACAAAAUGCAUUUCUUCCUGUAUUAAUUAAGACCAGUGGAUAGAAAAGCUAAACGUAUGUAGGAUUGUAUUCUGGCAAUUACAGUGAAUGAAAAAAAUCUUUGAAAACGGAUUAAGCAGGUUCACAACAAAUUGAGAAGAAAAGCAUAGUUAGUAAGGAAUUAAAAAAUUCAGCUUCCAAGUAUCAUAGUGAACACUACCAAAGUACAGCAUUUAAUCAAAACUAAUGUAACAGGGAACCAAUUGUACUAAUCAUCUUUUAUCAAUAUGAAAAGAAAUAAAGAUUAGAUGUCGUUUUGAAAUUCAAAAUAACAAAUUUUAACUUGAAAGCAUCUCACCUAGUUUUACAUUAUAGUAGACCUCUAACAAUCAUUUCACGAAGAAGUUUAACAGCCUUAUCAUUCUUGUUGUUUUCGAACAAAGCACAAAUAAGAGUUUGGUAAGUUAUCGCAUCUGGGGUGCAACCAUUGUCUUCCAUUUUUGACAGUAAGGACAAUGCCUCGUCAAAUAAACCUUCUUUACAAAACUCAUUAACCAUCACAUUAUACAUCGAAACAUUUAAAGGAUAACCCUUAGUCAGAAGAUCAUGAUAAAUCUCUCGUGCAUCCGCAAGUCUUCCAUUUUUGCAUAGCCCAUCAACAAGUAUAGUGUAUGUAUACAUAUUUGGCUGAAUCCCUUGGUCUUUCAUCUUCUUUAAUAAUGCAAUCGCCUUGUCAACCUGAUGGUUUUUGCACAAAGCAUC
rnacentral:lncRNA from 1 species